AGUGAACGCUGGCGGCGUGCCUAAUACAUGCAAGUCGAACGAAGUGGUGCACGGGUGAGUAAUAUAUAGUUCAUCUGCCCUACUCAGCGUAACAACAGUUGGAAACGACUCAUAAUACCUCAUAGUGUAUGAUGAGACUAUAUCGUAUCAGCUAGUUGGUAAGGUAAUGGCUUACCAAGGCUAUGACGAGUAACUGGUCUGAGAGGAUGAUCAGUCACAGUGGAACUGAGACAAGGUUCAAACUCCUACGGGAGGCAGCAGUAAGGAAUAUUGCGCAAUGGGGGAAACCCUGACGCAGCAACGCCGCGUGGAGGAUGACAAUUUUCGGGGCGAAAAAUCCUUUGAUCAGGAAAGCGGUACCUGAUGAAUAAGCACCGGCUAACUCCGUGCCAGCCGCCGCGGUAAUUC
rnacentral:rRNA from 1 species